rnacentral:lncRNA from 1 species
GGCUGGGUCAUUGCAUGCUGGCUUUGUUAAACAAAACCGGUGGAGAUUGAUUUGGUGGAGAGAUUUUCUUGUCUUCUAACUCGGGAGCUGGUCCCUGUGAUAAUUGUUGGAACCCAAUCGAGAUUCUUUCUGCGCUGCAAUAAUUUCAUAUCUAAUUAAAAACAUAGACCACAGGUUAAAACGUAAGGUACAAAAUGGAAGUGAGCAAAAAUAGGAGGGCUUGCUUAGCUUUAUACACUUUUAAUUGACACAAGCAUCCUAAUUAAUGUAUGCUAUAGUAUAGGAAUCUUCAACUAGCACCGAUAUAUCUUCUUCAAUCUCAUCAACGAGUUUUUUUUGUAACUUAGCACAAUUAAAUUUAUUGAUAAAAUAACAUAGACGAAAUAUAUUUUUAGGAAUUUAGCAUAUUUAAUUGAGUCGUAGAUAUCAUGUUCAACUCGCGAGUUGUAAAUGCCAAUUGUGACACGUAAGUCGCAUAUAAAAUAUAUGACACACAACUCGAUUAAGAGACACAUCCAAGAACAAUUUCUUCAUCAAUUAACUCUCUACCCAAAAAACCCCACAAUUUAUACACUUUAAAUAACAAGUUUUCUAGUCUCAAAACACAAUUCACAUAAACAACACAUAACAUAUCCAAUUCUAAUUAUUAAAACUAGACUGAUGAUUAACAUAACAUAACACAAUAUUUUAUUAAAAUUAAACUAACUAUGCAUCUAUUUAUAAUUCUCAUAACAUAUAAUAACAUGUGACUAUAUCUAAUAAUCGUCCCAGCUCAUGGAAAGGCCCAGAGUGCUUGUGGACGGGUUUAAAACACCACCCCAACUCAUCUAACUCAAGGACGGGUCUGUAACAUUUGUGUAGCGGUGAGGAGGACCAAUAUCACCUCAUCUCGUGGAUGAGCCUGAGAUGUUCGUGGAUGGACCAACAUCCCUAACACUCCCACUAUAAGCAAUCUUAUCUUUCGUUAAAUUUGCUUCAAAAUGCUCAACCUCCCUAACCUCUUGAAUUCCAUCACGACACAAAAUUGAACAUAGUGUUGGCCACAAUACAUCCCAUCUCAUUGAUGCCUUCACGGAUAGUCAUUGCUGUUUUUUGAGCCUCUCAUACCAAGUAAUUAAUCUAUAUACAUACAUUAAAAACUAAUUAGUAGUCAUCAUCUAUAAUGACAUUAACACUAUUUAAUAAAUGUUAUCUGUAAAACAAUAUUGUAUCCCAAUCGAUUAUGCUCAAAUAUCAGGGGGCAUAAUGCAUCGGAUUUUGUGAAAGCCUCGGGAAACGCGACCGAGUAGGUGUAAUAAAAUAGUAUGUAAUAGUCAAAUACCAUCUCAUGUAGGUAUCUACAUCAAUAGUUAGAUGUCACUUCUAAAAAACAUGAUCUCUCCUAAAAUCCCAAAUAUGGAGGUAAGAUGCAUAAAUCACCAACCAAUUUUCCUCGUGCUUACCCUAAUGACUAAUAUUAUAAAACUCAUCAUUGAUAUCAAUAUAAUUCAAUAUAUGUUAAGAUAGUCCAAACUGAUGUAUUACCCGAUCUGGGUAAUAUAUCUUAACAAUGUCAAAGCAAUGCAACAAGACUUGUGCUGACCAAAUGUCAGAUUCCUCACGGCAUAUAGACAAAGUUGAAAGUAUCAAGUCCUUUAUAUAUGACAUCUAUUUAACCUAUCAGAACAUAUGAAAAGACUUAUAUUAGAUAACAAGUCAAAACUAAAUAAUUGACAUUAAAAUAAUAAAAAAUAUAAUAUAUUUGUAACAAAUACCUAAUGUGGUUGUUGCAAUUCCAACUCAUCUUGGUAGAAUUCGUGAACAUAAGUGGGAUUUAUUGUGAAAUGUCUAGCUUCGAACCAUCUAAAAUAACAAGCCACAAAGUUAGUACAUUUCUUGCAUUCAAUUUAUAUAAUAACAUUUUGAUUAGAAUCAAUUUUAUUUUAUUAUUACCUAGAACCAGUAGGUAGGGGCCUCUAAGUGACAAUGUCAAACAUAUAAUUACCCCAACUCUUUGGAUAUCUGAUAUGAAUAUACUCUCAUGACCAGAGCAAUAUUAAUCAACAUUGACAAUUUUAAUUUAGUAUUUAAAAUGCCAUUAAUUCAAACAAUAAAAGAAUUUAAAAAUAAUUGUACCUAGAUAUAUAAUAGACACCCAUAAACUUUUCUUUAUUUUUUAGACAUGUUUUACAUAAAUUUUUUUAUAGAUAUAUGUAAGCAUGGCCCCCUGUCUGUAAUUAGAAAUGACCCUAUCUUCCUCAGAUUCAGGAGCAAAAAGAGUUAUGUAUUGAUCAAUAGGCUCAACUAACUCAACAUCCUUAUCUUCCUUAUCUUCUUCAUCUUCAUUCUCAACCUCAAUACUAUCAAUAUGAUGGUCAUCUUUUUCUUUACUUGGUUUGGAUUCUCCAUAACAAUAUGGAGCAAACAUCAUAUCUAACUAAGGUUUCAUAUUAACAAUUUCUUAUACCAUCAUUCAUCUCAUUGCAUUACCACCCAAAGUUAUUAAACUCUGCCUAGGGAUUGACCCAAGUUAGUCCGGGAAAAUUAAAAAAUAUAUGUUUGAGGUUUUAAUAUCCCACGUGAAAAUAUUUUGAAAUAAUGCAUAUGAAUGUAGGCCAUUAAAAAAAUGUAAGGCAUAAUGUGUAAUAUAGUUAUCCCACAUCGAAACUUAAGAAAUAAUCCAUGUGUAUGUAAGUUGUUGUUAUCCAUUUUAGGGCCUCACAUAAACAAACGAAAAUUAAAAAAAAAGAGAAAAAAAAGAAAAAAAAACAAAUGUUGGAAGAAAAGAAAAUAUAUUAGUGAGAAGAAUAUACCAAAACGCCUAAUAAAUUGUUGAAGACUGGUUGAGGAAGAUCAAAAUAUACAAAAUUAAAAAACUUGAUAAUGUAUUUUUGACUGAUGAAGGCCUUAUUGGCAAAGAAAAUUCAAUCUAAGGAGGAAAAUUUAAAAUUUAAUGUUUAAGAACUCAAUUAGAAAUUUUCAAGGUUAAUUGAAUUAAUUGAGGGCUUAAUUGCAUGAGAAUUUAAUUUUUAAAGUCAAUUUAGGCUUUAUUUGAAAGAAAUUAAAGUCUAGGGGUUGAAUUGUAAUUUUUAAGAGUUAAUUUGGUCUAACCAAGAGUUUAAUUCCAUAAAUAUUAAAGUUUGACAGGCAAUUAGGGACUUGAUUAAAGAAAUACAAAAUCAAGAACCAAACUGAAAAAGACACGUGAAUGUAGGAGCUGAAAUUGACCAAAUCAUGGGCCAGAUUGAAGAAAUUAGAAGUUUAUUGGUCAAUUGAGGGUCGAAAUGUACAAAUUCAGAAUCGAAGACUAAAAUGAAAAUAGCGUUCAACUUUGGGGUUGACAAUUGAGUUUAGCAAUGGUGAAAUUGCAUAAAAUUAAAAGUGUAGAUGCAAUUACGAGCACAAUUAAAAGCAAUUAGAAGAACAAGAAUACAAUUGAAAUUUGACAAUCUCAAAUUAAGAACCUUAAAUGACGUGUCGUUUAGACUUAAUGAAGAGAAGAUGAAUGACACAUCAUUCGUUAGCUUGCAUAUCUAUUUUGACGGUUUUAGCUCAUCUAGUUGGCAACUUCACACAAAUAAAUGUGGAGUUAUUGGCCUUCAAAUUAAACAAAGUUAGAUCUAAAUGAAAGGUGGUCUCAGGCGACGACGAUGUCAGCAUUGCUCCGACAAAGCAUCGAAAAUGGGUAACUCAGUUAGUCUGGACAGUGCAAUCAUCAUGCAAAAAUAGAUUUGUUUUUUGUGUGUUCACACACAAGGGCUCUUUAAUGAGUUCUUAUAAAAGGUUUACAACACUUCCCCUCAAAAUCAAGAGGUCAGAACUGGAUUCAAAACCUCCUAAAACCCUAGCAAAACAUUAUAACUACCCCCCUCAAGAUAAAAAAAAAAAAAGGGACAAAAAAAAGAAUAAGAUAAGAUAAGAAAAAGAAGAGUAAUUCAUGUAUUUCAUAGCUAAUUAUCUUAUUUUAUACCUAAUCCAGUGUAAUCCCUAAUUUAACCUAAAUAAACACUAACUCUAACAAAAUAAUUUUGUUAACUCACAAUCAACAACAACCCAAAACCAUAGAUUAUUUUGCAAAAUAACCUAAUUGUCAAGUCAAAUUAUAGGUUGCAUAUACAUCAAAUUGAUACAGAGAAAGUGUUGCAUAUACCUUUAAGUGUAGAAUGUGGGUGGUGAUGGUGAUUGGUGGUGGUGGUUUUGUCGGGAAAUAGGUUGAUCCACAGUGGAGAGGGAGAGGGAGAGAGGGCGGCGAUCUCAUGCUAGAGAGAGAUAGAGGAGUGAUCUCGUGUUGAUUUGGGUGUGUUUCGCGGUGGGAGAGAAAAAGAAAAAGAGAGGGAAAGGGAGGUCACUAACAACAUGGAGAGGGAAGAGAUAACUGACAACAAGGAGAUAGAGAGGGUAGAAAAAGAGGAGAAAUGGAAAG